rnacentral:hammerhead_ribozyme from 1 species
AUCCAGCUGACGAGUCCCGAAUAGGACAAAACUCGCUAACCUGGAU